rnacentral:rRNA from 1 species
GGCGGACGGGUGAGUAAUGCUUGGGAACUUGCCUUUGCGAGGGGGAUAACAGUUGGAAACCACUGCUAAUACCGCAUAAUGUCUACGGACCAAACGGGGCUUAAGCUCCGGCGCAGAGAGAGGCCCAAGUGAGAUUAGCUAGUUGGUAAGGUAAAGGCUUACCAGGGCGACGAUCUCUAACUGUUCUGAGAGGAAGAUCAGCCUCACUGGGACUGAGACACGGCCCAGACUCCUACGGGAGGCAGCAGUGGGGAAUAUUGCACAAUGGGGGAAACCCUGAUGCACCCAUGCCGCGUGUGUGAAGAAGGCCUUCGGGUUGUAAAGCACUUUCGGUUGUGAGGAAAAGUUAGUAGUUAAUACCUGCUAGCCGUGACGUUAACAACAGAAGAAGCUCCGGCUAACUCCGUGCCGGCAGCCGCGGUAAUACGGAGGGUGCGAGCGUUUAUCGGAAUUACUGGGCGUAAAGCGCACGCAGGCAGUUUGUUAAGCUAGAUGUGAAAGCCCCGGGCUCAACCUGGGAUGGUCAUUUUAGAACUGGCA